rnacentral:rRNA from 1 species
UACAGAGGUCCCAAGCGUUGUUCGGAUUCACUGGGCGUAAAGGGUGCGUAGGCGGUCGGGUAAGUCUGGCGUGAAAUCUCCAGGCCUAACUUGGAAACUGCGUUGGAUACUAUCCGGCUCGAGGAAUGGAGGGGAGACUGGAAUACUUGGUGUAGCAGUGAAAUGCGUAGAUAUCAAGUGGAACACCAGUGGCGAAGGCGAGUCUCUGGACAUUUCCUGACGCUGAGGCACGAAAGCCAGGGGAGCAAACGGG